rnacentral:rRNA from 1 species
ACUCCUACGGGAGGCAGCAGUGGGGAAUAUUGGACAAUGGGCGCAAGCCUGAUCCAGCCAUGCCGCGUGAGUGAUGAAGGCCCUAGGGUUGUAAAGCUCUUUCACCGGUGAAGAUAAUGACGGUAACCGGAGAAGAAGCACCGGCUAACUUCGUGCAAGCAGCCGCGGUAAUACGAAGGGGGCUAGCGUUGUUCGGAUUUACUGGGCGUAAAGCGCACGUAGGCGGACUAUUAAGUCAGGGGUGAAAUCCCGGGGCUCAACCCCGGAACUGCCUUUGAUACUGGUAGUCUUGAGUUCGAGAGAGGUGAGUGGAAUUCCGAGUGUAGAGGUGAAAUUCGUAGAUAUUCGGAGGAACACCAGUGGCGAAGGCGGCUCACUGGCUCGAUACUGACGCUGAGGUGCGAAAGCGUGGGGAGCAAACAGGAUUAGAAACCCCGGUAGUCCCAU